UGACUUUUUUGAAAUAGGUCUCCAACUUUUUUUUUGUCUCAAUUGGGUCCUAUUUUUGAAAAAUUAUAGCAAUUAGGUCAUUGUCGUUAGUUACAUACUAACACCGUUAAAGAGGUGUCAUGUGUCAACUCAUGUUUUUUUUAGUAUCUUAAAUUUUUUUUUUAAUUAUUUUUAUUUUCAUUUAUAUAUUUUUUUUUCAAAAAUAAG
rnacentral:lncRNA from 1 species